rnacentral:rRNA from 1 species
GAGUGAAGAGGGAAGAGCCCAAGAUUGAAAGCUGGCGCCUUCGGCGUCCGCAUUGUAAUCUCAAGAAGUGUUUUCCGCUUCGGACCAUGCCUAAGUCCCUUGGAAAAGGGCAUCACAGAGGGUGAUAAUCCCGUACAUGGCAUGGAGCGCCCGAAGCUUUGUGAUACGCUUUCUAAGAGUCGAGUUGUUUGGGAAUGCAGCUCAAAAUGGGUGGUAAAUGCCAUCUAAGGCUAAAUAUUGGGGAGAGACCGAUAGCGAACAAGUACAGUGAUGGAAAGAUGAAAAGAACUUUGAAAAGAGAGUUAAACAGUACGUGAAAUUGCCAAAAGGGAAGGGUAGGAGGUCAGAGAUGCGUCGCAGGAUUCAGCCUUGCUUUUGCUUGGUGUUUUUCCUGCGUUGCAGGCCAACGUCGGUUUUGGGCACUGGAGAAGGGUAGGAGGAACGUGGCACCUCUCGGGGUGUGUUAUAGCCUCCUACUGGAUACAGCGACCGAGACCGAGGAACGCAGCGUACUCGUAAGAGCGGGCCUUUUGGCACCUUUACGCUUAGGGCGUUGGCAUAAUGGCCCUCUACCACCCGUCUUGAA